AUACCUUUCUCGGCCUUUUGGCUAAGAUCAAGUGUAGUAUCUGUUCUUAUCAGUUUUAUAUCUGAUACGUGGACCAAUAGUCCACAUGAUAUUAAAUUAAUUUUUUAAGGGUGAGAGCUCAUUUUAGUAGCUUGCUACUAGAGCUUUCGUGUGUCGUCCAAGCGUUGCACUAUUGCUUGGGCCUGGCACAACCCAC